GGUUCGAUCCUGGCUCAGAUUGAACGCUGGCGGGAUAACUUUACACAUGCAAGUCGAACGACACAGCUGGAACUUCGGUCUGGUGGCGAGUGGCGAACGGGUGAGUAAUGUAUCGGAACGUGCCCUGGUAGCGGGGGAUAACUACGCAGAAAGCGUAGCUAAUACCGCAUGCCCUUCGGGGAAAGCCAGGGGGACGCUUCGAGGGCUCUGCUAUUGAAGCGGCCGAUAUCGGAUUAGCUAGUUGGUGGGGUAACGGCUCACCAAGGCGACGAUCCGUAGCUGGUUUUGAGAGGACGACCAGCCACACUGGGACUGAGGAAAGUUACGGCCGAAUCUACCCGGGAGGCAGCAGUGGGGAAUUUACGGACAAUGCAGGAAACCCUGAUCCCAGCCAUCCGCGUGUGCGAUGAAGGCCCUUCGGGUUGUAAAAAGCACUUUUGGCAGGAAAGAAACGGCACGGGAUAAUACCCGUGCAACUGACAGUACCUGCAGAAUAAGCACCGGCUAACUACGUGCCAGCAACCCCGCCCCGGUAUGCGUAGGGUGCAAGCGUUAAUCGGAAUUAUGGCGUAAAGCGUGCGCAAAGGCGGUUCGGAAAGAAAGAUGUGAUGCUUAAUCCAGAGUAACACGGAACUGCAUUUUUUAACUACCGAAAAGACUGAAGUGUCUGUCAGAGGGAGUGAAUUCCGCGAUGUGGCAGUGAAAUGCGUAGAUAUGCGGAGGAGCACCGAUGGCAGAAGGCAACCUCCUGGGAUAACACUGACGCUCAUGCACGCGCAGUGGGGAGCAAACAGGAUUAGAUACCCUGGUAGUCCACGCCUAAACGAUGAUAAUCGCCGUUGGGGCCUUCGGGCCUUGGUAGCGCAGCUAACGCGUGAAGUUGACCGCCUGGGAAGUACGGUCGCAAGAUUAAAACUCAAAGGAAUUGACGGGGACCCGCACCAGCGGUGGAUGAUGUAGAUUAAUUCGAUGCAACGCGAAAACCUUACCUACACUUGACAUGUCUGGAAUCCCGAAGAAGAGAUUUGGCAGUGCUCACCCAAAGAACGGAACACGGGUGCUGCAUGGCUGUCGUCAGCUCGUGUCGUGAGAUGUUGGGUUAAGUCCCGCAACGAGCGCAACCCUUGUCAUUAGUUGCUACGAAAGGGCACUCUAAUGAGACUGCCGGUGACAAACCGGAGGAAGGUGGGGAUGACGUCAAGUCCUCAUGGCCCAUAUGGGUAGGGCUUCACACGUCAUACAAUGGUCCGGGACAGAGGGUCGCCAACCCGCGAGGGGAGCCAAUCUGAAACCCGAUCGUAGUCCGGAUCGCAGUCUGCAACUCGACUGCGUGAAGUCGGAAUCGCUAGUAAUCGCGGAUCAGCAUGUCAUGAUGAAUACGUUCCAGGUCUUGUACACCGCCCGUCACACCAUGGGAGUGGGUUUUACCAAAGUAGUUAGCCUAACCGUAAGGAGGGCGAUUACCACGGUAGGAUUCAUGACUGGGGUGAAGUCGUAACAAGGUAG
rnacentral:rRNA from 1 species